AAUCGGAAGUGAAACUUCGGUGAAGCAGAAGAUGGAAAGCGGCAGACGGGUGAGUAACGCGUGAAUAAUCAACCCUGUACAAAGGGAUAGCCUCGGGAAACCGGGAUUAAUACCAUAUGAAGUAUAUUAAUCGCAUGAUAGAUAUAUUAAAACUUUGGUGGUACAGGACGAGUUCGCGUCCCAUUAGCUAGUUGGUGAGAUAAAAGCUUACCAAGGCGACGAUGGGUAGCCGGCCUGAGAGGGUGAACGGCCACACUGGAACUGAGACACGGUCCAGACUCCUACGGGAGGCAGCAGUGGGGAAUAUUGCACAAUGGAGGAAACUCUGAUGCAGCGACGCCGCGUGAGCGAAGAAGGCUUUCGAGUCGUAAAGCUCUGUCCUAAGAGAAGAAGAAGUGACGGUAACUUAGGAGGAAGCCCCGGCUAACUACGUGCCAGCAGCCGCGGUAAUACGUAGGGGGCUAGCGUUGUCCGGAAUUACUGGGCGUAAAGGGUGAGUAGGUGGUCAUUAAAGUCAGAUGUAAAAGGCAAUGGCUCAACCAUUGUAAGCAUUUGAAACUUAAUGACUUGAGUGCAGGAGAGGUAAAUGGAAUUCCUAGUGUAGCGGUGAAAUGCGUAGAUAUUAGGAAGAACACCAGUGGCGAAGGCGAUUUACUGGACUGUAACUGACACUGAGUCACGAAAGCGUGGGGAGCGAACAGGAUUAGAUACCCUGGUAGUCCACGCUGUAAACGAUGAGUGCUAGGUGUCGGCAAGAGAUUGUCGGUGCCGCAGUUAACGCAUUAAGCACUCCGCCUGGGGAGUACGAUCGCAAGAUUGAAACUCAAAGGAAUUGACGGGGACCCGCACAAGCAGCGGAGCAUGUGGUUUAAUUCGAAGCAACGCGAAGAACCUUACCAAGACUUGACAUCCUCUUGACAGGUGUAGAAGUACACCCUCUCUUCGGAGCAAGAGUGACAGGUGGUGCAUGGUUGUCGUCAGCUCGUGUCGUGAGAUGUUGGGUUAAGUCCCGCAACGAGCGCAACCCUUAUCAUUAGUUGCCAUCAUUAAGUUGGGAACUCUAAUGAGACUGCCGGUGAUAAACCGGAGGAAGGUGGGGAUGACGUCAAAUCAUCAUGCCCCUUAUGUCUUGGGCUACACACGUGCUACAAUGGUCGGUACAACGGGAAGCUAAGGAGUGAUCUGGAGCUAACCCCAAUAAGCCGAUCCCAGUUCGGAUUGCAGGCUGCAACUCGCCUGCAUGAAGUUGGAGUUGCUAGUAAUCGCGAAUCAGAAUGUCGCGGUGAAUGCGUUCCCGGGUCUUGUACACACCGCCCGUCACACCACGGGAGUUGGUAAUACCCGAAGCCGUCGAGCUAACGUAAGAGGCAGA
rnacentral:rRNA from 1 species